GAAAGGGUUUUUUUUAAAACCACAACGAUUAACAGGGAAAAUACA
rfam:Anopheles stephensi strain SDA-500 unplaced genomic scaffold supercont1.68, whole genome shotgun sequence.